CAGAGAGUAGUUUUUAAUAAAAUAUUAAUUUUGGAGAUUAAUGAUAUAGAUUUAUCUAUUUCUCUGA
rnacentral:tRNA from 1 species